AGCAGAUUAUAUGCAGAAGCUUAGGGAGAAGAAAAAAAUGUCAAUUACAUGAAAAGACGAACAAUCAAUAACCAAUCAUACAAUUACCAAAUCCAAUCACAAACUACAACAUAGUUGGUGCCUUUUUACAUCCCUUGAAAUCCAUGUUUUUGCAAGAGUACGGUAGUUUCAAACUCAUGAUAGUACUAGUACUACAUGAGUAUGCAGUAGCACAUGAGAAUCAAAGAAGCACAUAGCUCAAGUUCCCCUCCAGAUGUUACAAACACGUUCCAAAACAUUCCAGGGAAACGAAUGGGACUACCAGAUGAACUGAUUAAUACACAAGGGCCAUUGGACAACAAUAUGAUUUAGAUGCAUCAGUUAUACCCCAAAUUGACGAAAUAAAACUCACUGAAAACUCUUACCCAACGAUGAACCUAUCAAAAACAUACUCACCCCUGCAGAUUUCCUUGACUGAUUAGCAAUUGCAAAACCAAGCAGAACUUAUAUAAACACAUGAACUACUAGUACAUCAGAGUUCCUGCAAGCCAACAGUGCAAAAAUUUACACUCAAAGUUGUGUAAAUAGACUGCUUGGGCAGUGCAAACGGGGCAGAUUUUCAGCGUAGUGAUCCCAGGCUAGCUUAGAAAUCAAUUUAAGUAAACAUGCUAACUUUCAGGCUUAGGUACUAACUCAGAAUGUUUGAUUUAAGUAAACAUCAGUCCAUCCAGUUAAGGCAUCCAACAGACCUCACAUCUGUUAAACCUUCUAAUGGUUUCAUUUCAAAACUCUUAAAAGAGCAUACUAAGUUCAAGUUAGCAGAGACAUCAACCAAAGAUCCCGAUUCAGAGAACAACAUAGCAGGAUUCACAUUAGACAAAAACCCUUCAACAUAUGCAUUAGCUCGACUAAUGCACCAUGUCAAACAUAAUAACCAUGACAAAAUUGAAAUAAGAUUUGAAAUACAGUCGACUAAAACAAGUACAAAGCUACAGUUUAUCGAUCAGCACGUAGAGGACUUCCAACAACACUACUGUUAGGAUAUUUGAACCAAUUGAUUUGAGGUCAGACUUAGCACAACCAUUGACUAGUUGUGUGCUGAAUCCUCUAUCAGAACACCACAGCUAACAGUGAAAACCAUUCUAGGUCGACCAUACAUUUCCAGUAUAACACCUACAAAACUAUUAAUUAACUUUCUGAACCUUAUGGCUCAAUUAAAUCAUCGCGAACACCAGAGCAUAUUGCAAAGAAGAUCACCAAAAGAAACUGAACACAUCGUUCAUUUGAAAGCGAUGACAUCUUGAUUCAGAAUAUACUUCCAGCCAGACGACUACUCAAAUCGAUUUCUACUAACUGAAAAUACUCAAACACAUACCGCCAUUGCGAACAGAUCUAGUCAGCAAAUAACACAAACAAACCACCUUAGAUUGAAUCUCAUAGCUCGAAAAGCACUGAAACAAAACAGAGUCGCAUAGAAAUAAAGAGAGGAAAAUAGAACCUGAAGUUGCAAAUCUUCUUUUAUAACAAUUAUAAACCUGACAAUACAACUCUCGACUCCAAAUCCUACCGAGUUCCAGCAGCAACUCAGCAGAACAACAAUAGAAAAUCAAACUCGAGCUUCAAUUCAUCUUUUCAUCUCUUUAGAACUCAAAACAAGACUCAGACAGUAAAAAAUAUCUUUCUCUUAAACUUUUAAUGAACUCGACCCAGAAGAAAGAAACAAACUCAGAAAACCAUCAAUUCUAGAAUCCUUUCCACUUUUUUUGUUGAAUUUUUCUUAGCCCUGACCCCUCACAAAAUUGGAUAAAGCCUCUUUUGGAGACCAAUCCUUGAUGAAUGUGGGGCUCGGAUUGAGUGAAAUCAAUCCAACGCCUCACACUCAUCCAACAUUUCAUCUCCAGAAGCUUCCAACCGUGAGAUAGGUCUCAAAAACGAGCGAGUGAGAGAGAGAGGGAAUCUUGGCGUCAAAAGCUGUUAGCAAUGGCAAGAGGAGAGAUAGAGGAACACGUGGGUUAGGGAUUGAUUCUCAUUGGACGGAAUUUUGGGGCUUCUUCGCGUGUUCUUCAGAGAAGAAGAACAGUGCUCGUGGAGUUUAGGGAUUUGGGGGUCUUUGG
rnacentral:lncRNA from 1 species